rnacentral:lncRNA from 1 species
UCGAGGGCGACUGCGACUUGAGAAUCGAGAUCCACGGCGAGGGCGACGGCGACUGCUGACUCGAGAUCCAGCUUCUUCCCGUCCUGCGGAGCUGGUAAGUCACCCACACAGACCCCAGCUUCUUUGCUAAAUCGUGGAUCAGCGCUCAUGCUCGCAAACGACUUGGUACGGGGCAAACUGGCGUGCCCACCCGAAAUUCCCAUUGCGUGUGUGUGGUUCCACCAAUCUCACACGCUUGGCUAAGUCUGCCUUGUGUUUAGUAACACGGGGCAAUAUAUCACUGGGAGCGUUGCCCUGAUGUUUUUCUGUAAACCCUUUGUUUCCUCUGAAUGUUUUCAGGUUAGAGAUUAGCAAUUUAGCAAGGCAAAUGCCUGGGGGUAUUUUGUUUUGAAAAUGUAUCAGCCCCUGUACGUUUAUCUGUGACUGAGAAAUUACAGCAGUCCCUUACUAUAUCAAAGUGCAAUACGACAAUCGCAAUACAGCAAUUAAUUCAUACAUUACGAAUUAUUAUUAGUUGCUAAAGAUUGUUGGCUCAUGUUGCUUCCCUUUGUUUUAUGAGCUGAUUGCUAGGGGGUGUACACCAGAGGACAAAUUCAUCACUCACAAUUCAGUUGAGGGUGUAGACUUUCUAUAUUGUAUCUACACAGACCCCAGCUUCUUUUGCCAGACAAGAGCGUGCCGUACGUGGAUCCAUGGACGUCAAGAGGGCGAUGGCUGCUGCGGUCUACUUCGUCCGCUCCUUCCCCAUCUUGGCCUUCCCCGUCCUCUACGCCAUGGGCUCCGCCGUCUGCUACGCGCGCUGUGGCAAGGUAACACUACUCCUAACCACCACGACCCCUGCUUAGAUGCUGUGCUCUGCUGGACAUUCCGGCCGACCGAUUUGCGCCUUCGUGCAGCUGCGGCGGUGCGUGGCGGAGGACGAGACCGACGUCUGAUUCUGGGCGAGGAUGUGCUUCAUCGCACUCCAGGCGAUCAUUGCGGAGCUGGCGGUGCUGCUCCCGCUCCACAGCUGGCGGAUCACCCGUGCCCUCGCCUACCUCGUGGUCGCUGUCUUAGUCGUGGGCCGCUGUACCUAUGCCAGCGUCAUGCCUCAAGGAAUGCCCCGUGACAUCAAGAUCCUCUUAGUCUCGGGCAUCUUCGGCCUCACGGUGGCCGACCUCCAUAGCUUCCUCUUCCUGGCCCGGGGAAGUCAGGAGUAGCUCCUGAUCGGUGAGCUCAAGCUCCAUGUCCAAGGAUCAGCUCAUGAGGUACUGAAGUGACAGCUGAUGACAAGUUCAAAAAAACGCUGAUAUAUUGUACUACAUGUAGCUGUUAACUGGAUAGAUCUCCUAGCAAUUCAUCCGUCUAGUGUUGGACCUUUGAUGCGGAAUUACCCUGUUAUUUCUGUAGUAAUGUGGAAUUAGCAUAUUGUUUGUGUUUCUCGGAACUAGCAUAUAUAAUUGGAUUGUGCUCGUCUGAUCGAGAUAUAGCAGUAUUGAGUAGCUAGUAUUGACCAACAAUUUGUGUUCGUCUGAUCAGCCAUAUAUGGACCUUUUCUCGGUAUGAUCAUCGGCCAUAUGCAGUAUAUAUAAUUGAUGUUGGUGAAGGUGAAAUUGUUACUGCAGUUUAUAUGUAUGCAUGCACUCAUGUUGUUUCUCCUGUUGAGCAUUGUUUUAUAUUCAUUCCAGUAACUGCUGGUGUAUGAAUGUGGCUUGGAAUAACCAGUCCAUCAGGGAUGAGUUGAGGCCCUCCUUAAUUUUGGUGUCUUUUUUGUUAGAUUUGAAAGCCAAAAUCGCCAUCUGCUUAUGGUCGAUGAACCCACAGGCUGGAAGGUUGCUGACCGGGCUGAUGCAGAGCGGGCAUCCAAGUAUGCUCGCAAGAAAGAGAGGAUGCUUUGUUACCGGUGCGGUGAGAAAGGUCAUUUCAUUGCAGAAUGCGUGGCUCAGCUUUGUGAGUCUUGUGGCAAGCCAGCGCAUGCUUCGGGGGAGUGUCCUUUUCUGAGGGAGCAGGUUCCAGCUCUUACUGUGUACGGUGUGUACUGUGCUGAGCUGAUGUUCUUUGAGUCAGCGACUGCGAGGGAGGCUCCAGUUGAGACCCAGAGCCUCACUACUGGAUUGGUGAAGGUGACCCAGGGUGAUGUUUCACACGCUCAGAUUGUGCAGAGGCUUAUGGAGCUGGCUCCGGGUGAUUUUCAGUGGGACCUGGUAUCUGUUGAAGAAAGAGUGUUCAGAGCUGAGUUCCCUUCGGUUGAGGACUUGUGGCGCUUGUUGAGCUUUGGGAUGUGUAAGGUUCCAGGCACCAACGGCAUUUUGGAGUUUCACGAGUGGAAGAAAGUUGAGCCUAAGGGGAAGCCUCUUACUCAAGUGUGGCUGAGAUUCUCUGGGGCACCAUCUGAGGCUCUAGCUGAUGUUCGUGUGGUGGCUAGCUUGGGGAUUAUGGUUGGUAAAACGGAGAAGGUUGAUAUGGCGUUCACGAGAGCUCAGGGGGUGGCCCGUUUGCGAGUCAGUAUUUUGGACAUAGAGUAUGUUCCGGACGUCGUUAACUGGACAUAUAGGGGUGAGGUUUUUCCCCUUGAGAUCGAGUUUGAGGAUACGGAGUUAUUUGCUGAGGUGGCUGCUGGCACUGACGUGGAUAUGCACGAAGGGGGUGAUGAUGAUGGUGCUUCCAGGGAACCGACUGAUGAGGCGGCACAGGAGCCCAACGGAUCGGGGCCUCUGGCUCAGGAGUCUGAGAACGGAUCCGGGAUGGAGCAGUCUCCCACUUCGUCUCAGCCUCAUAGCACUUUGCGGUUUGGAUCUUUUCAGCUGACAUCGGCUCCUCCUCAUCUAUGGAGUGAUCGGGUUGACUCUCACGACGCGUUUGAGCACACGCUACCGGCCUUGGACUUUGGACAGGCUCUCCGGCGUUCGGACGACGUUCGACGCGAGGUGGAGCCUCAGGGGUUGCCGGGGCUCACUCCUGGAGGGGAGGGGCUCGGCUUGGUUUCUUCCCGGAGGGAAGGGGUGUCGGGGCAGGCGGCCACGACGCCCUCUUCUCCCGUCUCGUCGCCUAUGUCGACGCGGCUGGCGUCAGUUUCCGGCGGUGGCGGUACACCUUUGGGGCAGGUGGCCCUGGAGGAGUGCCAGGCGGGAGCUCCGACUGUGGACGAGUCGCAGGAGGCACUACGUACGCGUCAGGGGCAGGUGGCCCCAGACCCUCUAGUGCCGACGGUGGUUCAACCGGCGUUGCACUCGGCUUCGAGGGCGAGAGCAGGGGGACGGACUAGGGCAGGCGGCUCUGGUGCCCACUCCUCCUGCCAUCUCCCCCUCCCUUCGGAGGUCUCCCUCACCCAGGCCGUCUCCGGGUUCCGUUACUCGGGAGGAGGUGAUUGCUUUCGGUGGGAUUCGAGACCCGGUUUCCGAGGGGAGACGGAUGAGCUCUCGUCUCCAGGACCUUCCGGAGGUGGAUGACAUGCAGCAGCGGUGCGCUAUGCGGGCGGCCAAGCUUCGUGAUGUUGAGAUCACUACUGGUAUGUCAGUUAAUUUAUCUAAUUCCAUUUUGCAUUUCUCUAAGGAUGAGAUUAUUAAUAAUGCAAACCAAGUAGGUGUGUCUCUUGGGAAUAAUAAUGCUGAAAUUUUGAACUCGGUUAAUGAUCUCUUAGAUUUGGAAGCGGAACGGGCCUUAGAAACCAUUAGAAACCUAGCGGCUGUAAAACCUAUGAAUGAUGCUGAGAUUGACGCAUUGGGGGUAAGGGUGCUGGACACCUUCUGUGCGGAUCUUGUUCCUACGUCGGCGGAGUCUGACGAGGAGGAAGUAGGUGCGGAGGAAAUAGUAAUUACACAACCGGAGCACGGUUAUGAGGACCGGGUUACGGAUAAUAACAUUCCUAAGCGUAAGUGGAAGCGGAAGGUGUAUCCUGCAUCCGCGGUACGUAGGAGUGCUAGGAUUCGGACUGCCAAAAAAUUCCAUGAUGACCUAUGAAAGGAAUCUUCUGGAAUAGCAGAGGUCUUAAGGACUUGGCUAAACGUAGGUUUCUAGCGGAGGCAUCUUUAGAGCACAGUUUGGACUUCAUUGCGCUCUCUGAAACUGGUAGGGAGAAUUUUGUGCCACAGUUUCUUAACACUUUGUCGGGAGGAGUGGAGUUCGAUUGGCAUUGUCUUCCUCCAAGAGGGAGGUCCGGUGGCAUCUUGCUUGGUGUGAGAUGUGACUCCCUGGAAGUCCGGAGCGUUGUUAUGGGUGACUUCGCGGUCAAAUUUCGAGUCAGGUCUAAAGUAGAUGGGUUUAACUGGGUUCUGGUGGCGGUCUAUGGGGCCGCACAACCUGAGCUUAAACCGGAGUUUUUGGCAGACCUGGUUCGUAUUUGCGGAUCUGAACAACUUCCCAUUUUGGUUGGGGGGGGGACUUCAACAUCAUUAGGAGGAGGGACGAGAAGAACAAUGAUAACUUUGACGGCCGAUGGUCUUUUAUGUUUAACACCAUCAUUGAGAGCUUGGAUCUGAGAGAGAUCGAGCUUUCUGGUCGCCAAUUCACCUGGGCUAACUCUUUACCCAAUCCGACAUACGAGAAGUUGGAUCGGGUGCUAGCAAGUCCCGAAUGGGAACAGAAAUUCCCUCUCGUCACGGUUCAGGCUCUCACGCGUGGGAUUUCGGACCACACGCCUUUGUUCGUAGACUCCGGUGAACCAAGGCAUGUGGGAAACAAAAAUACCUUCUCUUUCGAAACGGCGUGGUUUGAACGAGAAGGCUUCCUGGAUCUCGUAGCUAGGGAGUGGGCUACGGAUACUGGGGGAAAAUCGUCCGUCGAGAGAUGGCAGAAUAAGAUCAGGCAUUUGAGGAGCUUUCUCCGGGGAUGGGCCAAACACCUAAGUGGAGUUUAUAAGAUUGAAAAGGAUAGACUCCUAGAUCUUAUACGAUCCCUAGAUGUUAAAGCUGAAUCUACAAUUCUGCAGUCUGCUGAUUUGUCUUGUAAGCUUGAUGCGGAGAAGAGGUUGAAGGAACUUCUCCGUGAAGAAGAGCUGAAGUGGGCGCUCAGAGCAAAGGUUCGCAAGGUAAUCCAAGGGGAUGCGAACACUCAAUUCUUUCAUCUUAUUGCAAAUGGCAAACACAGAAAGAAAAUUCUUUUUCAGCUCGAGCAAGAUGAAGGCACAAUUGUGGGUCACGAUAAUCUAAAGAUCUACAUCACCGAAUAUUAUAAGCAGUUAUUUGGACCGCCGGAGGAUAGCGCGGUGUCCCUAGAUGAGUCCAGGAUUGAGGAUGUGCCUCAACUAACUGCUUCUGAUAAUGCUAGCUUGAUUGCACCGUUUACGGAAAAGGAAGUUUUCGAUGCCAUUUCCCAGAUGGAGAACAAUAAGGCUCCUGGGCCGGAUGGGUUUCCGGCGGAGUUUUAUAAAAAAUGCUGGCAUAUUAUCAAGGGGGAUCUUUUACCCAUGUUUCAUGACCUGUUUGCUGGACGGCUUCAUCUAUUUCACCUGAACUUUGGAACCAUAACGUUGCUACCAAAAAAGACAGAUGCUCUGAGGAUUGAGCAGUUCCGGCCUAUCUGUCUUCUGAAUGUUAGUUUCAAAAUUUUUACCAAGGUUGGGACGAAUAGGCUCACACAGAUUGCGCAUUCUGUGGUGCAGCAAUCCCAGACAGCUUUCAUGCCGGAUAGAAACAUCCUAGAAGGGGUGGUGGUCUUGCAUGAAACGCUCCAUGAAAUUCACUCUAAGAAACUAGAUGGAGUCAUUUUUAAAGUGGACUUUGAGAAAGCGUACGACAAAGUUAAGUGGCCUUUCCUGCAACAAGCUCUGCGUAUGAAAGGGUUCGACGAGGGCUGGAGGAGCCAGAUUGAAUCGUUUACGCAGAAGGGUAGUGUUGGUAUUAAAGUGAAUGACGACAUUGGUCAUUAUUUCCAGACACACAAGGGCUUGCGGCAAGGUGAUCCGAUGUCCCCUAUUCUGUUCAACAUAGUGGUGGACAUGUUGGCAGUUCUGAUAGGGAGAGCCAAGGAGGCAGGCCAAGUUGGAGGCUUGGUGCCUCAUUUAGUGAAUGGAGGUAUUUCCAUCCUGCAGUACGCUGAUGACACUAUCAUCUUCAUGGAGCAUGACUUGGUAAAAGCAAGAAAUAUGAAGCUGUUGCUUUGUUUGUUUGAGCAAUUGAGUGGGCUCAAAAUUAACUUCCAUAAAAGCGAGUUGUUCUGCUUUGGUAGAGCCAAAGAGGAACAAGAAGCCUAUAAACAAUUGUUUGGGUGUGGUUUGGGGGAGUUACCAUUCACAUACCUAGGGAUUCCAAUACAUCACCGUAGGCUUACGAACAAUGAAUGGAAGUGUAUUGAAGAUCGAUUUGAGAAAAAGCUAAGCUGUUGGAAGGGUAAGCUAAUGUCAUAUGGAGGCCGGUUAAUUCUUAUUAAUUCGGUGUUGACGAGUAUGCCCAUGUUCCUUUUGUCUUUUUUUGAAGUACCGGUUGGGGUAAGGAAAAGACUGGACUUCUAUCGAUCGCGGUUCUUUUGGCAGGGAGAUGAGCUAAAAAGAAAAUACCGGUUAGCGAAGUGGGAUAUCAUUUGUAGGCCGAAAGACCAAGGGGGUAUGGGGAUUGAAAAUCUCGAGGUCAAGAACCGAUGCCUUCUUAGUAAGUGGUUAUGGAAGUUAGCUUCAGGAACUGAAGCCACUUGGGCUCAAAUCCUUCGUAAUAAGUAUCUUCAAACCAAAACUUUGUCUCAGGUCACGGUUAGACCGACUGAUUCACCCUUUUGGAAAGGGCUAAUGAAAGUUAAGCUUUCAUUCUUUCAGAGGGCAAAGCAUGUUGUUGGAAAUGGUGCCAGCACAAGAUUCUGGGAGGAUUGUUGGCUCGGUGAUACGCCCCUUGCAAUCCAGUAUCCGGCGUUGUAUCGUGUUGUACAAAGGCGUGAUGCUCUGGUUGCAACAGUCUUUCGUUCCAUUCCACUUAAUAUUCAAUUUAGAAGAUCGUUAGUGGGCAAUCGUUGGGAACAGUGGUUGCAUCUAGUUAGGAGACUGAUGCAGGUCCAGCUUUCACAACAACCUGAUAAACUGCGCUGGAAUCUCACUAGGUCGGGGGAAUUCACAGUUAAAUCCAUGUAUGUUGCUGUUAUCAACUCCAGCUCGAUUCCUACUUCCAAGCAUGUGUGGGAUGUCAAAGUUCCUUUGAAGAUUAAGGUGUUUAUGUGGUUUCUUCAUAAACAAGUCAUCUUAACAAAGGAUAAUUUAAAAAAGCGCAAUUGGACAGGUCCUACUAGGUGUAGUUUCUGUGAUCAGGGUGAAACCAUUAAGCAUUUAUUCCUUGAGUGCCCACUAGCUAGAAUUCUUUGGACAACUGUUCAUGUUGCUUUCAAUAUUACUCCACCAAAUUCGGUGAAUAUGAUGUUUGGAGCUUGGCUUAAUAGGGUAGAGCCCGGGUUAGCUAAACAUAUUCGCGUGGGGGUGUGCGCCUUAGUGUGGGCACUGUGGAAUUGCAGAAAUGAUCUUGUUUUUAACAGAACAACAAAAACUCAUGUUUUGCAGGUUAUCUUUAGAGCCACGGCACUUAUCCGUUCCUGGUCGCUACUCACUCCGACGGAGGCCAGGGAGCGUUUGGUUACUGGUGCUAUCCGAUGGGAGACGGUAGCUCGGAAUAUCUUCAGCCGGUUUGGAUGGCGGUCAUGUAAUAGGAUAGGCAAUUAGUUUACCUGUCUUUUGUUGAGCCAAUCGGCUGUGGUUUAUCCUUUGUUGGGCUAGCUUAUGUAUCUAGCCUUUGGGUUCUGUGUGAGCCUUUUCGUUUUCUUUUUAGUUUGCUACUACUCAGACUUCGAGACUUUGUGGAUGUUUUAUUAUUAAUAAGAUGGCCGUAUGCAUCAUGCUGAUGCAGAGGCCGGGGAUCCCCCUUUUCGAAAAAAAGGCUGGAAACUUGUAUGAGCGCUCGAGCUCUCCAAUGAUCAAUGCUGUUUGGUGAGCAUUUUCUCAUGUCUGGGCGCUGAUUUCGGUCAUCAACUGUGCUCGCUCCUCAUGGUCGGAGGAUUUAUAGCCAAAUAGACAAUUGCAACACAAUCGGCUAAAUCCUGCCACUUAAUGGGUCAUUAUCCCGAGCACAAUCUUCAACCAAAUCGAAAAGAUGUUUGGUCAUGGCGAGUAGACUGGGGGCAAAGCUUGAAUGUCACUGCUUGCACCGUGCCUCUGGGGUGGUCCAGAGACAUGGCGAGCAUGCUGCACGAUGACACAUGUCAUUGGAAUGUUGACACUGCGAGCUUCAGAACACUGAGUUCAUCUUGUAUGUCUGCCUUGAGGAC